UCAGGACGAACGCUGGCGGCGUGCUUAACACAUGCAAGUCGAGCGGAGAUUACACAGUAGUUUACUACAGUGUAAUUUAGCGGCGGACGGGUGAGUAACACGUGGGCAACCUGCCCUAUAGAGGGGGAUAGCCACCCGAAAGGGUGAUUAAUACCGCAUAAGACCCCGAUACCCCAUGGUAUCGAGGUAAAAGGAGAAAUCCGCUAUAGGAUGGGCCCGCGUCCCAUUAGCUAGUUGGCAAGAUAAAAGCUUACCAAGGCGACGAUGGGUAGCCGAUCUGAGAGGAUGACCGGCCACAUUGGAACUGAGACACGGUCCAGACUCCUACGGGAGGCAGCAGUGGGGAAUAUUGCGCAAUGGGGGAAAAACCCCCUGACGCAGCAACGCCGCGUGGAGGAAGAAGGCCUUCGGGUCGUAAACUCCUGUCUUCUCUGACGAUAAUGACGGUAAGAGAAGAGGAAGCCACGGCUAACUACGUGCCAGCCGCGGC
rnacentral:rRNA from 1 species